rnacentral:rRNA from 1 species
UAACGACUCUCGGCAACGGAUAUCUCGGCUCUCGCAUCGAUGAAGAACGCAGCGAAAUGCGAUACCUGGUGUGAAUUGCAGAAUCCCGUGAAUCAUCGAGUCUUUGAACGCAAGUUGCGCCCGAGGCCAUUUGGUCUAGGGCACGCCUGCCUGGGUGUCACAC